UCUUCCUUUUAUCACAGUGAUAAUGGAACAUGCUUUGUAGCAACGACUGUAUAAGAAAUGGGGCUAGGUUUAAAAGAACAAAGGGAUACAGCAUAAUCAUCCUGGUAAUGCUUUUAAAUGCUUACUCAGAUGCUGGCUAUUUUUCCAAUAUAGUAUUCCUGUAGCAGAAAGAAAGAAAGAAAGAAAGAAAGAAAGAAAGAAAGAAAGAAAGAAAGAAAGAAAGAAAGAAAGAAAGAAAGAAAAUUAAAUCAAAUUAACAUCUAUAGCAGGAGAAUGUUACACCUUGGCAGCUUCCUGACAAUACUGAAGUGAUUUCCUACAUGGGCAGAAAUGGCUCCCUGCUACAGACCUUUACACUAAUUGUGAGAAGGCUAAAAAGGACAGAAGUGGAGAAAAAAUGAGCAGCUUUGGACAAAAUAUCGAAAGAUGACUGCAAAGAAGAGGUUUCAACUUACUUCAAUUCAAACAGCAAGAGAUUUCUUUGAAAAAUUUAAAGAAGAACUGGAGGAAAUGCAAAUGGAAGUGACAGAAGGAUCUAGGCAACAGACACAGCAAGAGACUGAGGAAGAGGCUGCCUUUUAGGUGCUACAGGUGUAGGCUUUUCUAAAUUUGUGACAUAAUUAUGGAUUUUAAAUACCUAAUGUGAAUAUAAAUGGAGCAAAUGCUCCUCAAAGAAGAAGAAAAUAAUUUCAC